GUGUAUAAAAGUAGACCAUGGAAAAUAAAGAAUUGGGAUCAGUUUCUCGAAGUACUGGUCUCCCCAUGUCGCUCUCUCUCUCACUCUGGCUGAGUCUCCAUCUGGAGCGUGGAACCCGCCAUGCUUACUAAUUUUGCCUGGGCUUCUAAGAUCCAACCAGGGAGGCCUCAGUGUCUCCUUUCCUUCGGGAGAACGGAAGGACGCCUGCGGCCUAUGACAACACAGAUCUGGAGCACAGAAGUUAAGAGCAGACAUUAUGGCUUUGGGCUACGGAGAUCUCCCACAGUGCUUUCCAUCAGCCGAACCCAACUGCAAGUAAGAGGACAAGAGACCCGUGAUUCAGUCCAUACAGGUUGACCUCCCUGGGGCAUGGGAGAGGAUGGAGGAGAAUAGAGAAUGGAUCUGGAAAAGAAAACAGAAAACAUUCAGCACACGUGUUAUCUCAGUUUGGACAAUUAGCUCUUCUUGCUCUAGAACUUGAAAUUGAAAACAGAGAGACAGAGAAAUUGUCAUUAAAAAUGAAUACCGUUAAUGGUGCAUGACAGAAUGUCCACCAGUUUCUGCUGCCGAAGAAUCUUGACCUUUUCUGCUUCCAUUUCUUCUACAAAUUGGUUGCUCAGUGAUCCAGGAUGUUUCCAAUAUGUCUCUUACUUCUGCCUAAUACGAUGGAAGUCAUUUACUGUCACUUAUAACUGAAAGGUCCCUAAUGAAGCAAUGCCCAAAUUUUUAGUAUUGGCAUUUAGAUCACUGCAUUUAUGGCUACAUUCCCAACUGUACUCAAGAAAAGGACUUAUGUAGAAGAAGAGGAAGCGGAGGAGAAAGGGGAGGAAAGAGAGGAGAUCGGGGAAAGAAGGAGAAGGGAAGGAGGAGGAAGGGUGGGAAAGGGAAUAGAAAGAGAACAAGAACACAAAUGAUUAUAAAUACUUGGAAAGUAGGAACUUCUUCAAUAUGAUCCUGCUGAGAACCACUGUCCCAUCACCCACAUUCUCAGAUGGCUCUUUUGGAGAAAAACUUAAUUAUUGGGUUCUAAUUUUUUAGAGUUAGCUAUUUUGCUUAAUUGAAUUUGCUAGUUAACUGUCCAUAACCUUUGAAUUUUAAUCUAAGCCAUAUUACCUGAAAUCUUAUAUAGAUCUGCAGCAGUUGCUUGAGAUCCCUAAAGGGCAGA
ensembl:lncRNA